CGAAUUCAGUCAUUCAUCACUGUGUUCCUUGAAAAAAAGACGUGCUUAAAUUUUUAAAGUUUUUCACUUUUGAAAAGUAAAUAAUUUUUUUUGACCGCUAUUGUGAGUGGACGGUAUAUAUCUAGAAAUGGAGCCAUUUGUUAAUCAGGAACUUCAGGACAUAUUGAAUGACCUUGACCAUCAAUAUGAACAGAUCAAAGUCGAAUUAGCCGGUAUUAUGAAGGAACGUGAUGCUCUUUGCCACCAAAUUGAAACCAUCGAAAAGCUGUGCAAACGCUAUAAGAAAAACAAGCAAGGAUCGAAUCUGAUGUAUCAUAUUAAUGAGUUGUUCAUUGAUAGCGACGAACGAUAAGUUUUAUUUUACUUAAAAUGUUUUAUGAGUUCUUUUUUAAAAAAAUUGUGAAACCAUGUUAAAGAAAGCCUGUGAAAUUGUCAAGAUUGUCAAGCUAAAUCAACAAAAUUAUGAAGAGAAAACCAGUAAUAUGAAUAUAUCAAGCUAAAUGGCAUUAAAUGAUGUUCAUUUUGAUGCAGCUGUUGGUGGAGUUGAUGUACUGAACUGAGCUUCUGAUUAUAUACAUUUAUAUAUACUUGAUGAUUUACUUGAUAAAAUAUAUAUGUACACUAGUGCUCUUUGGGUAUUUAA